rnacentral:snRNA from 1 species
GUAAUCUGGCUGCAACAUCUGUCACUUCAUUGAUUCAGGGUUGAUUCAGUUGAUCUGGCUCCGUGUGCAUCCCUCCUGAAGCUACACUCUCAGUGGAAGAGGACAAGGAUCUCAGAUAGAAGUUCAUCAAUCUUUGGUCAAGGGUAUACGAUAGCUGUUUUUCCCCUGCUAUGUCUUCCAAGCGUAGCAGACUAAGGCAUUGCUCCUCGAUGUAACUGCCCUAUGUC